rnacentral:tRNA from 1 species
GCGGGGGUAGGGCAGCCAGGUAGCCCGCCGGGCUCAUAACCCGGAGGUCCCCGGUUCGAAUCCGGGCCCCCGCCCCA